AUGUUUUAUCUUUUCUUGCAAAUAAAAGGCUAUCUGGGCAGCCAUGACUCAAUUGCAGUCAGUGACUCUCCAAAUUACACAUCCAGACAGAGCUCUACCUCCUCUGAGUCUGAUGAUGAAGAGGGUAGUUGCUGUGGGAACAUGUCUGUUAAAAGUCAGCUCUCAUUAAGGAAAUGGGAAGCAGCUACAAAAUUAAAAACCACUAAAAGUCUUAAAAAUAGUGACUCUGAUGUUUGUUCUAAGGCUCCUCUGCAAGAUUUGCAGAGAAGGUGUAAUCCCAAGAAGAAACCACAGACCUCAACAAAUAAAACACGGGACACGGGAAGUCAGACUGCAGUCACCAUGACCAACGCAUCAACCCAAUGCCCUUUUCCGGAUGAAAUAAGCAUAAGCAAACACCAGCAACAUCGCAAGUCACCCUGGCAGGCAGUGUAUCUUCCAAAUCCUACCACCUGGGGGCAGUGUAGCCCUGAGAAUAAUCCUUCAGGCCAGAUUCCUCAUUCAAACACACCCUGGAGUGCAUCUCGGGGUGUUAAAGGACAGAGGUGUCGACCAACACCACCAUUUCAUGGUGGGAGCAGGUGCUUGAACCAAUCACACCUGAACAAGUCACAGACAGAAAUUCUGGAUAACCACCAAAAUAACCCUAUUCAAGAAGCGGACAUGGAGGAGCAACCUUCCAAGCAAUUCACAGAGGAGAAAGAAAAUGGUGAAGUGCGGGAGAUGAAGGAAAUAUGUCAGCCACAUGAAAAGGCGGAGCCCAUGAAAGAGCCAGUGAUAGUUAUGGAUGAACUGGUGCACGGAGGUGGGAAGCAUGUCUCGGAGGAGGCCGAAACUCUUCAAGAAAUAGCCGACAUUCUGUUAAUGCUAAAGAAGAAAAAAUCAUUCUCAAGGAAAAAAUAGUGAAUUCAAAUUGCAGUGAUUAAAUGACAGUUCCACCAUUGCAAUACGUUAUUUUUAUUAUUAUUUUCUUCAGGUACAUUUUCAAGUGUUAAAAUUUCACAGAUAUAUUUAAUUUUAUGCAAUAUAUAAAUUCUAGCAAAACAUUUACAGCAACAAUACUCAAUUUACUUUACAGCACUGGUAAGUACCUGUGGCCUUGACUAGUUUUUCAUGAAUGGCAUAAACACAGUGUUGUAAAUGUAUAUUUAUAUAUAAAAAUGUAUUAUUUUUUCUGCAAACAGAGGAUGUUUCCUGUUCAUGAAAAAAAUAAAAAUCAAAACAGACUGAAUGAAUGAUUGCCA
rnacentral:lncRNA from 1 species